rnacentral:lncRNA from 1 species
UUUUUUUUCUAAUUUUAGAACGUUUUUAUUUUCCGUUUUCGGAAGUUUCGGUUAUGAUAGCUAACACCAACGGUGUAAAUAUCGUGAGAAGUUGGCGAUUUUACUAGUUGGCCAGUAAUCGAGUAAUUUUUUUUUGUUAAUCUAUCUAUUAAUCAUUAAUCGGUAGUUGGCUCUAGUUGGCUUGCCAAAAGCUUGUAAAUUCCGGUCAAAAUUUGUAAAUUCGGCUAGUUUCUAUCUUAGAUCUUGACUUGGAGGGUGUUUGGGAUUCUUUGUUACUUCUUUUGAAUUCUUUCACAAAAUAAUUAGUCAUAAAUUGUGAUUGAAUUCGAAAGGAGUAAUAAGGAAUCCCAAAACAGAAUUGAAUGGUAUGAUUUUUGGCUUAUUAAUAACCACACACUAGGUUAAUUUCUGUGUAAUACCGAAACCAUAACUACACACAAUGGUUAUAACAAAACAUAACCAUUCAGUUUUGGCAAUAAUCGAACUGAACUGCACCAUGCUCGCUCCUAGCAAUUUAUAUCGAGUUCUUUGAUGUAUUCAACCCUAAAUAAUUCCAACCUACUAAAAACAGUAUAAUCUAACAUUAUGAAUUCAAGCUCAUAAGUCAUAGGUUCCAAUGGUGAAGCUUGAAAACUUCCACCGGAGGGUUGGAAGUCACCGGACUUAAAAGUUUAUAUCUAGUUUUUUUAUAAAACUGGGGGGGUCGAAAACGUAUAUUCUUAAAAAAUUCUAUACGAAACGUACAUACAUAACACUAUUGAACGAAAAAUACGGAGGGUUGGGCGCCCCUCCUGGCCCUUCAUAGCUAUGCCCUUGGGUCAAACCACUUAGUUGGUCAAGAAUCAUGAAUUUAACACUUAAACACGAACGCUACCAAACCAAAAGUUUAUUAAGGCUUAGGUGUCAAGA